rnacentral:rRNA from 1 species
ACGAACGCUGGCGGCGUGCCUAAUACAUGCAAGUCGCGCGAAGUUUUUCUGGUGCUUGCACCGGAAAAACUUAGCGGCGAACGGGUGAGUAACACGUAAAGAACCUGCCUCAUAGACUGGGACAACUAUUGGAAACGAUAGCUAAUACCGGAUAACAGCAUUAACUGCAUGGUCGAUGUUUAAAAGUUGGUUUUGCUAACACUAUGAGAUGUCUUUGCCGUGCAUUAGCUAGUUGGUGGGGUAAAGGCCUACCAAGGCGACGAUGCAUAGCCGCCCUGAGAGGGUGAUCGGCCACACUGGGACUGAGACACGGCCCAGACUCCUACGGGAGGCAGCAGUAGGGAAUCUUCCGCAAUGGGCGAAAGCCUGACGGAGCAACGCCGCGUGAGUGAAGAAGGAUUUCGGUUCGUAAAGCUCUGUUGUUAGGGAAGAAUGAUUGUGUAGUAACUACACACAGUAGAGACGGUACCUAACCAGAAAGCCACGGCUAACUACGUG